rnacentral:rRNA from 1 species
UACGUAGGGACCGAGCGUUGUCCGGAAUCAUUGGGUGUAAAGGGUCCGCAGGCGGAUGUGUAAGUCGGAGGUGAAAUCUUCCCGCUCAACGGGAAAACUGCUUUCGAUACUGCACGUCUUGAGUACGGGAGAGGGUGGUGGAAUUCCUGGUGUAGCGGUGAAAUGCGUAGAUAUCAGGGAGAACACCGGUAGCGAAGGCGGCCACCUGGCCCGUUACUGACGCUCAGGGACGAAAGCGUGGGGAGCAAACAGG